rnacentral:rRNA from 1 species
CAAACUAGCGGUCAAGUUGAGUGUGUCAAUCAGAUUCUUGAAGAUAUGCUCAGGGCUUGUAUUAUCUCCUUCAGUAUGAAGUGGGAAGAUUGUCUUCCAUAUGCCGAGUUCUCCUACAACAACAGCUUUCAAGCGAGUUCGGGCAAGGCCCCAUUUGAAAUUCUCUAUGGCAGGAAGUGUUGUACUCCUCUUAACUGGUCAGAGACAGGCGAGUGUCAACUUCUUGGAAAUGACUUGAUCACAGAGGCAGAAGAGAUGUGCAAAGUCAUUCGUGAUAACCUCAAAGCAGCGCAAUCGCGCCACAAGAGCUACUAUGAUAGUAAGCAUCAUGAUUUGGCUUUCGAGAUCGGAGACCAUGUUUUCCUCCGCAUCUCUCCAAUGAAAGGAACUCGUCACUUCGGUAUCAAAGGGAAGCUUGCCCCUAGAUACGUGGGUCCUUUCAAGAUCGUCAGCAAGAAAGGCGAUUUCACCUAUCAACUUGAGCUUCCCUCCAACUUUGCAAAUGUGCACGACGUGUUCCAUGUCUCUCAGCUCCGGAGGUGCUUCAAG